rnacentral:lncRNA from 1 species
CACACCACAUACCAUUACAUGCCACUUACAAGAAAGAAGAAAGUAGAAAUAUUAAAUUAAGGUUUUCUAGUUUUCCAAUUUUAGGGUUUUAUGAAUGAACCAUGAGAGAAAAGCAAUUACCUACUAGAUGAAGCAAUUCUAUGAUCGUGACAUACAAUGCCAAAUCGGGAGGGAGUGAUGCCGAGAGGGAUAACAGGCACAAAAAGUGAGAUCGCGACGAGGAGUGACAAUGACAAGGGCUGAUGGCGAAAAACUGGUUAACAACGAGAAGGGACUCAGAUAAGAGGGAGUGAGACUGCGAAAAUGAUAAGAAGGGAAAAUGCAUAUGUGAGAGUGGGAAAAUGAAAAUGUGAGCGAGAAAGAAAAUGAAAAUAAAAGUUGAAAAUGUAAGCGAGAAAGAAAAUGAAAAUAAAAAUUAGCUUUUAUUUUUUAAUUUUUUAAUAAUUAAUUAUAAAUAUCUGUAUAUAAUAAUAUCGGUAGGUAUGUUUUAUUUAAGUAUAUACAAAUUUUAAUUUUUUACAUAUGAAAAAUAUUGUUAUAUAAAAU